ensembl:lncRNA
CUUUAAUCCCACUUCCAUUUGCAACCAUAAAAAACCCAUUGUCUUAUUCAACUUGAAAUUAUAGUCAUAUUUUAUUACAAUAUUAGAAUUUGUACACAUUGCCCUCUCCAUCCUCUUCCAUUUAUAAAUUUAUUACAUAAAUAUAAUCAAAAAAUGCAAAAUAACGAAGGCAAAUUUAACAUGAAUUCAAAAACAAAAAGUGUUACCUGACUCUGCGAUAGAAACUCGAGGAAUGUAUUUUUCAUAUAUAUAUAUUUUUUAAACAAAGGUCACACAAGUCAGAGUAGAGUCAUCUAAUCUAAUUAACAAAAAAAAAAAAAAAAAAAAAAAAAGCUCUGCACCAUUAAAAAAAAUGUCAAGAGACUCAUGUUCAUUCAUUGUUUUUGAUCAUUACUCAUGGGUUGUAAUGGUGUUGCAAAAGUAAAAAAAUUCACACUUUUAAAGACCAAUCCAAAAAAAAAAAAUAUUGGGAUUAUUAAAUUUAUCAUUGGUUGUAAGAUAAAUGUAAAGGUUAGUACUCAUCCAACAUAGGAGCUCCCUUUAAGUGAGAACAAAAUUAUAACAAACCUAUAUAUAUAUAUGUAUAUAUAAAAUAUAAAAAAAAAGCCUCUAUUAUCAACCCCAACAGCUGGUCACUUUAUGAUCAUCAAACAGAUCUGCAAUCUGAGUAAUCUUCACAAAACUCAUGCAAAAAUAAAAACCACUGCAUGGCCUUUAAUGCAACCCUGCCCUUUGACGCUCAUCUCAUGCAAAUCUAGGGUCUUGUGUUUUUCAACAACCUUUUGUGACUUUGCCACUUUUGGGAAUUCUCCACAUGGUUUUUAAAGACUUCUCUGCCAGGUUUAAAGAUACAUCGCAUCUCGAAUGUUGACAAUGACGAUCAGUGAGUUUGCUUGUGAGUUAACACUGGCCAACUCUGUGACGUCAGGCAUCAGAUGUGACAACUAUAAUUGUGAACAUGCAGACACUGAUCAAACCAAAUGAACAAAAAUCUAAACAACCCUUAAACCAAAUUAACCAACAGGAACCUCCAUCAUCCACAUAGUCGAGCAGUGUAACAUUAAAUACAGCAUGUAAAAAACAAAAACAGUAGGAAAAAAAGGUGUAAUAUAGAAAAUUAUAUUAUUACAGUAUAUAUAUAUGUAUAUGUGUGUGUGUAUGUGUGUGUGUGUGCCUGUUGACCUGUAAAGAUUUUUAAAAAAUAAACCAGAAAAAACACCCAGAAAAGUGUAAGCUUUGAUGUAAACUUGUAAAAACAACCCUGUGAUCAUGUGGCUAAAUAAAAAGCUCUGAUAUGUGAAUUAACCCCCAACCUUUCAUUCAUUCAAGCGAACAUCACGAGAGCUGUUUUAAACAGCAGACAGGGAGAGUUGGGUGUUUCUCAGCGGUGCUGCCGUAAAUGUCAGAGAUUCUGGAGAGGAUAAAGGGAGUCGCUAAGCUGCAAACGUCUUACCACCUCCUCGCCGGGUCCUUGAUCCACGUAUAACAUGCUGCUGAUGAGGCUGAGAGGUGGCUUGGGAUGUCAAUAUCCAAGAGUGGAAUAAAGCCAUCCUUCUGAGUGAUCAUAUGAUCCUGGAUCCUCUGCAGCAUCUCCUGCAUCCGCCGCAGCUGGGAGAAGAGAGCAGAGAGAGGAGACGGGUGUUAGUGUGAU